GGGUUGUUAGCUCAGUUGGUAGAGCAGUGGACUCUUAAUCCAUCGGUCAAAGGUUCAAAUCCUUUACAACCCA
rnacentral:tRNA from 1 species